AAAUGAUCGUCAAUAAGAAGAAGUAAUCGAAUCCGUUUUUUAUAGAGACAAUCAGCUAGGCUGGAACUGAUUGAAAGACACUCGAUGAAAUGCCUCUUAGAGACUCUAUUUGAAUUAAGUAGGAUAGAGCGUUCACUGUGCGUUAAACAGAUAAGUUGGGAGUGUUCGAUUGCUCCAAACAGAGUGGAACCGCGUGAACACGUCUCUGUC
rnacentral:ncRNA from 1 species